rnacentral:lncRNA from 1 species
CCUUUUCUUUUUCUUUUUCUUUUUCUUUCUCCCCUUCUUCCUCCUGCCGCCGCCACCUUCUUCUCCCCUUUCUUCUUCCUUCUUCCCUGCUGCCUUCUUCCAUGGCCGGCGCCCCCCUUCCUCCUGAGCACGCUCCCCGCGCGCGUCCUCGUCGCCUCUCUCUCCCUGCGGCCCUCCUCUCCAAGACCGUCCCUCUCUCCCCGUGUGCUUCCUCCCUGUCUCCCUCUCCCGUGAGCCCCCACGAGCGCCUCCAUCUCCCCAUUGCCCACGCCCGUCUUGCCGGCGCCGCCUGCCCUCUGCGCCAAGCGCCUCCCCCUGCUCCGCCGCUUCUCUGCGCCCCAGGCCGCCUGGCCGCGUCCGCCUCGUGCGCGCCUCCCCUGGCGCCCCCCUUCUCCUCUCUCCCCGCGCGCUCUCUUCCUCUACAGGCGACCACCUCCACACGCGCCGCCUCCACCGCGCACGAC